AAGGAAACAAAUUGGAAUUAAUAAAAACCUCAAAGCGGAUUCUGAAUUACAGCAGGUUGAUUCAAAAGGGAUUAGUUCUCCAUAGUCAUCUUGCUAGCUCUCAAAAAAUCGUACAUGAACAGAAAAACGUAACCCUGUUUUUGGCUGCCUCCGCUAGGUAAAAACACCCAAACCCGUUUCACAACUCAACCGGGUCAAAUGUACGAUCCAGGCCCAAUACAAC
rnacentral:lncRNA from 1 species